AAGCAAAAUUCCAUUGACCAUUGUUCCUAGAAUUUUGGCAAGCAAUGGUAUCCUACAGGUGUUCUCGCAGCCUGCCUUGUGGGGAUGUUCAACCAGGAAGUGGGUCCAUAAACAGGACAGAACCACACAGACACAAGCCAUGUUUCGAAGGGUGAAGACACUUGUCUAUAAAAAAUGAAAUGGGAUCCAAGAGAAUUAGAUGUCAGUGGGUCUCCAGGAGAGUACACUCUGUAGAACAUGAGAAGGCCAAUCACAUGUUUAGGCAGUGAGUCUGAAGGCGUUUGGCUACAAUUCAAGUGAGCAUGUCCCUGGCCUGGAGCCAGAAUCAUGAGCUGCAGAAACCAUUUGCACUUUGGACUGCCUGGAAAAUGCUGGUGGUUUUUGAAGCAUACACAUACAGGAAAAAGGGAGAAGGAUUGAAAAAACACAGGUUUUGGUGACAAAAGCAGCUCUACCUUUUAUCAACUGUGAGAUGUCUGGUAAGCAGUUCCAUUGUGCUAACCAGUUUACCAGGGAAAAUGACACAGAGUUUCCUUAGGUUACUAUGAGA
rnacentral:lncRNA from 1 species